AGCUGAUCUCGCCUCUCAUUGGUCACCGUUUUGUUGUAGAGCAAUUCAUUACCAUGCAAUUUAGGAAGUUUAUAUUUUUAUUUUGUAUUGAUCUCACGACUCGACCAGAAACGCGUACUCAAAUUUAUAAAUCCAGGUGGAAGUUAUUUCCUGAACAGACUAAUCGGUCUGUGCCAGUCGAUCACGCUCUCUGGGAAGUCUUAAAAACCCUGGAAGGUUAUAGAGUGUGUGUAACUCUCUAUUGGACAUGAUCCCACCGUUUUGUCUCACGCUUUCGAGAUCCACCUUACUCGGGUGCAGUGAACAUCCUUGGCGCCCUCGGUACAUAUCCGCUAGCUUACGUUCUCAUUUAUCAAUACAGUUGCUCGUCUCGUUUCUCAUCCUUCUUUCCCGUUAACACGAUUCCUCCAGCGAACACUGGCAGCCUUGAUAUCAUGGUCUGGUCAUGGACGUAAGACCUUUUUACGUCACGGUAAAUUAUACCAGGCGGCCGGCGAAGUCCGGUGCAGAGACGGAAGAUAAAAUACCCGGGCUCCAUCGCAACUUAACGAAGAAGGAGAGCCAAGAGGCUUCGUUUCUUUACGGGCAGCACGCCAACCGACUUAAAUCGCGGCACGAGACACGUCCGAGCGAACGGAUCCAGCCACGGCGUCGUAAACACUGGCGAAAUAGAGAAAGUCGUCUCGAAAUCGUUCCUCUACGAAACAUCUCCCUUACUAGACAAGCUUCUCUGAUUUUGAUUCUAACGGAUUCCUGUGGAACGAUAACAUGCGAGUAUAUAUACUGCAACAGAAUCAACUGGACAUGGUUGUUUCGAUAAUACAACAAUGCCUCAGUUACAGUGCUAAACUAAAAAAACCGACUGACUUGUAUAUACAAUAAAUACGGUUCCAUGUGGCUUGGCAUAAAUUGAACAGUUCAAGUGUGAAACAUAUAUUUAUUAAACAGAGAAUUGAAAUACCAGAAGUUCGGAUAAUCGAGGUUCUACUGUAUGUAGGUACAUUGUGGAAAUUAGAUUUUAGUUGCGAUCAAGAUAGUUACUUAAGAACAUAAGAAAGAAAAUACCCCUGAAGAUUAAUUUCUAUUCAAGGUCGUUUGAGUGGAUUGGAUCAAGAAAUCUUUAUGUGUUUAUGAAUAAUGAUGAACAGCUGAUUAAAUGGUCCUAAGCUUUAUCACCUUUACUACAGUAUCAAAUGUGUUAAUAGUGGAUCUGCAUUCAUAUAAGAUUUGGCUAAAAAGAUUUGCACAGCUAAAGAUACAUAAAAUCAAACAAAAUCGAUAAAAAAAAACUAAUGCUACAAGAAAUGUAGCAAACAUAGAAAUAAAUGGAGCAUAAAUAAUAUAAAUGCUACAGAAAUACUCUACGGGAAGAUUAAUACUUAACAUUAAUAAGAGUUGACACUAUCAGUAUAUAGCUUUAAAGGGCAGUCACUCAUAGAAAAAAUAUUUGCACAAUACUACAUUAGAAAAUGAGUCUACCGAUCGGGACCGGGAUCCGAACCCGAAUUUUUCGCUCUCUUGCUAGGCGGCUACUUUAACCAAUUAAGUUAUCCCGGCCGACCGACGACUGAUUCACUCCUAGUCCUCAGAAAUGCCAAUUUCCUCCUCCUACAAUACCAAAGUUGGUAAACUGAAUUUCGGUCACUGAAAAUCGCUUUCCAUACCACCGCACGCGCAAGCUGAAAGGUUUUCAAAGAAAAUCGAAAAAGCGGAAACAAAGAGAAAUCGUGCGCAAGCUCGGCGAAUUCCUGAUGGAUGAUCCAGAUGCCCAUAGAUCAUCUGUCUUUGAACGAGUCGACUGCUGCUUCGACUGGCACUUUUCCUGUCUGCUUCCCGACGCGCCAACUCGGUACGUUUUAUGAAUUCUGCGACGAACAAUGUUGUUUCAGUACGCCUCCCGUCUUUGCCGGGAAUUCCUCACCGUCGUCAAAACUCCGCCAGUAAGAAUUUCGUGAGACGACUAUGGAGAUUCGGGAAAGUUAUCUCGCUGCAAGCCGAGUCGCGAGGUGUUAAGAAUAAAUGGCACACUUCCGUCUCGCGGUUUUUCUUGCUUUAAUACCGCGCAGCCUCGCUCGAUACUCUGUCGAAGGUAAAACUUAACGCCGUUACCGGAGACUAUAAAGGAGAAGGGAAAGAGCGAGCGUCGCUUUCAAAGUGGGUUAUUUUCGACUUCGACCCGAAAGGAAACGGAACACAGCAAUGUUCGCCGAAGUUGUUUCUCGUUCAAAGUAUUUUAAUACUUUCCGGCGGAACAAUUUCUGCUGGCCGGAUAGAAAACAUUUUGCGCGCAGCGCGAAUAGAUCAUGCUCGUCCAUCUUCGCGCGGCAUCUCGCCAGUCGACCAUCAUCCUUUAGAGCUGGGUCAGAUAUUUCGACGAAGUUUACAACAUUAUCUCUUUUAAAAUUGUACAAGUUCUACAGAUGUACCUAGGGAAACGUGUGUUUCCGGAGAUGUUUGUUAGGAUGAACUUAUGUUUCUUUAACUCCUCGUCGUACCAUUUUCUUUGCAGUUAAUUUGUAUUUAUUGGGUAUCUACAAUGUUUAAGUAUUGAUGAGAAGAGAACAGAAUUUUAUUGCGACGUCAAAGAACGGAAUGGCACACAUAUUUUACAGGUUAUAUACGCGCUCUUAUUUUAUUUUAUUGUAAAGUAUAUGGACGGCUCUGGAGCCAAUCGGUAUAAAUCCAUUGACCUUAAAAUUGCAAUAAAUGAGGAUUUUGUAAAUCAGUUGUAAAAAAAAU